UACAGAGGGGGCAAGCGUUGUUCGGAAUUACUGGGCGUAAAGGGCGCGUAGGCGGCCUGCUAAGUCGAACGUGAAAUCCCUGGGCUCAACCCAGGAACUGCGUCCGAUACUGGUUGGCUUGAAUCCGGGAGAGGGACGUGGAAUUCCAGGUGUAGCGGUGAAAUGCGUAGAUAUCUGGAGGAACACCAGUGGCAAAGACGACUUACUGGACACAUAUUGACGCUGAGGUGCGAAAGCGUGGGGAGCAAACAGG
rnacentral:rRNA from 1 species